rnacentral:lncRNA from 1 species
UCGGACCAAUUUAGUCUUGCUUGUAGCCCAAUUAAACCAAUCCCUUAGCUCAUUAACUCAAAAGCCCAAACCUAGACACCCAUUUAAGAUAAUAUACAAGAAAAAUAAAAAAACCUAGACCUAGAGGGAGGGGUUCAGCCGUAUUUCACAUGGAGAAGACCUUCAUCGUCUUCAACGGAUUACACAAAACAAGGAGCAGACCUUCAUCUUGUUCUCCAGGACAAACCAUGAGAACAACCCCAUGAGAUCUUAAUCUUGAACACAAGACAAAAAUAUACAAAAAACCCUAAGAGAACAGUCAGCUGCCGCAUCAACCUUCACCCGCCGGCGACCACUCCACACACAUCUAUGACCAGCUAACUCCUCCAGCUCCAGCCGUCAGCGACCCCUUCAACACCGGCAAACUGACCCCCCUCUCUUCGGGCUGACACGAACGACCCCUCGCCUCAUUUUCUUGAAGCUAACACACACAAGAGCACUCCAAUCCCAACUGUUUCAAGAUCUCAAACAUUCAGGUUCCAUUGCCGGCAAGCUUCGCCGGGAACCGGCGGAAACUAACACGAAAAUCCCCCAAAAAUCAGCUCGAAAACUAUCCUUUUUUCAUCUCAAAACGGAACUAAAAAUCAGUCGACCCACAACCAUCGACCCCUCGAUUUUUUUCUCCUACGUACCAGCUGACACUCACACGAAAAGGUCACUGUUUGUUCAGCUCUGAAAUCUUACAUUGAAGUUGUGCUCGAAGUCGAGCUUCACCGGAAACCGGUUAGCUCAUCGUCUUUCAGUCGAGUCUAUCAAUUCUAACUGAGUUUCUGGCCGAUUUUGUUGCUGCUCGUAGAGUUUGCUCAUUUUAGGUUGUCGGUUUGAGUUUCGCUCGUGGUUUCGGAUUCGUCUCAUUGUUGUCUCCUUCAUUCGGAUUUACACUUUGGCAAAGUUGUUUCAAUUUUCGGGUACUAAAAAACACUUUCUUAACAGGUUCCUUUCUGUUCUACUAUAUCAUUUACUUUUAGUUAGAUUUAAUCUUCUUCCAUUACUUGUGUUUUGCCUUACUUCCAUGCUUAAGUAUUUAUAGUUUAGAAUCUGUUGGUUUGGAUGCAUGGAACUAUAAUUUGAUUUAAUUUUGUGAUCACUAAAUUGGUAUUCAAUUGCUCAAGUUUUACAUAAAUGGGUGUGGGUAGAGUAUUGUUUAAAAAGAAAAUAUUAUAUUAUUAUUUCAUUAGUUAAGCUUGAAUCAAAAGGCCGUAUAAUUGAAAAAAUUGAAAAUUGAAAGAAAACGGAAAUGCAUUUAAAGUUUAGUAAUUCUAUUUAGUUAUUAUUAGCUCUUCACUUCCCUGCUAGUAACAUGCUUAGGCCAUCAUCAUUUGGGUAGGCACGCCUCAAGAUGUUUAGUUUAACUUAUAAUGUUUGAACGUAAGGUGAGAGGUGGUCCCUUAGAUAAAUUCAUUCGGGGAAUGCCCCGUAGACAUUGUAAAUAGUUUAACCCGGGGAAUGCCACGAAGUAAAUGUAAAUGGAGUCGUGGCAUCAUCAAUGAAGGCGUAGUAUAAGUUAAGAAGACUUACUUUAUUUUGUUUUAUUUUUCUUUUAUUAGGAAGGGACGACCUCGAACCUUUUGGAUGUUUAUUUUUCUUUGUGUGUUUUACCUCAAUUCAAACAUUCUAAAAGCUAACUUGAUCAUGUACACAACCGUAUUAGUUACAGGACUUGGGGAAUGCCUAACAGCUUCUCCCCGAGUCAUAUGAACCCCCUUACCCGAAUCUCUGGUGCGGACUUGAUUUUCGAGUCCAAGUAUUUUAAAAGUAAAAAUUAUUUUUAAAAAAAACGAUGAACUGACACACUGAAAUCAAUGUCAAGUGGCGACUCUGAGUAAUUUUCUUUUGCACAAAAUUUCAUCACUUUCUAAUUGAAAACCCUUUUCAAGCUUUAUAAAUUCCUUUUAUUUAUUUAAGAGGGGUUAGUGAAGUUUGGUUAAAAAAAGGGGUGUGACAUCUCUGGCUACAUUGGGAAAGUAAAUGAAUUAAUUUUGGACAAACUAUGAUUUAUAUUAUUUUCAUGUUUUACCUAUCCGCCUUUAUCUCUUCUUAUUCAAAAAUAUUCUCUUAUUUUUCUAAUAAUCAAGAGAUAAAGGCGCAUAGGUAAAACAUAAAAAUAAUAUAAAUCAUAGUUUGUCCAAAAUUAAUUCAAGCCAAAUGUAGUCAAUAAAGCGAUCGUGCUAGAACCACGGGACUCAGGGAAUGCCUUACACCUUCUCCCCGGUCAAUAGAAUUCNNNNNNNNNNNNNNNNNNNNNNNNNNNNNNNNNNNNNNNNNNNNNNNNNNNNNNNNNNNNNNNNNNNNNNNNNNNNNNNNNNNNNNNNNNNNNNNNNNNNNNNNNNNNNNNNNNNNNNNNNNNNNNNNNNNNNNNNNNNNNNNNNNNNNNNNNNNNNNNNNNNNNNNNNNNNNNNNNNNNNNNNNNNNNNNNNNNNNNNNNNNNNNNNNNNNNNNNNNNNNNNNNNNNNNNNNNNNNNGGUUGUGCACUCAUCUUGAUCUUUUCCUAAGGUGUUAACCUCUUCAAGGAUAACCCGCACUGACACUAAUUGAUGUUUUAAGCGUCAAUACCAUACACGAGGGGGGUUGAUUUGUGUGGUACCCAAUUUUUGCUUAACUGAACUAUAGAAGAACCUGGUUCUUCUAGGUGUUCCAACUACUACCGUUUGCGGAAUAAUAAAUACAAAAAAUAAAGAACACAGAGAUUUUUACGUGGAAAAUACCUGGCUCAAAAGGUGAAAAAACCACGACCUAUUACUCAGUAGGAUUUUCCAAACUUCCACUAAAAUCACUGAGCCAAAAUAGCAUUUACAAAAACUCUUUGUAAACCUAAGGAUUAACUCUAAUCCCGUUGUAGCACACAGCCUCAACUGUUGUGACAACUUCAAGUUAACUCUAACUUGAACACUCUAGGUACCUAAUACAAUUGCUUCUAUGAAAACUGAAAGGUAUAAUGUAAAAUCUCCUACUACAAUUGAACUAGAAUAAAAGAUAGACACUUGGAACUGAUUCUUCUAUCUCGUUCAAGCAGCUUCAGGAUUGCACACUCAAAUCACACAUAAAUUGCUUGCAAAAUCACCUUGCUCUUUUGCUCUCAAUUUAAGUUUAACUUUUGCUUAUGUGCAUUACCUAUAAAAGAGAACAACAUUGACAUUUAAUAGGUUAGUAAUCAGAGUUUGACUGGGAUUCAAUUGCUACUCUUCUAUCGUGGAAGAGUUCAUGAUGAUCUCAAACUCUAACACUAUCUUCAUCCUAAACUGUGUUCUCUUCAUGUAAGGAGUCUUUCUCUCCUUAUCCAAUAUGCAACCUUUUCUAUCAGAUCAGGAGAUAUUGCUUCUUGAUCAGUUAGAUUUAUCUCCUUCACGUGCAUCUCACAUGUACAGGUUGAUAAUGACUGUGCUUCACAAGAUGGACCUGGUCCAUGUCUGAGUUCUUUUGUCAAUUUUCAAAACUUCACCUGUUCUUGGGCCAACAACCUUGAAACCCGAGCUUGCACUGACCUGAAUGUUAUCGCUUACAUUUACCAUAAAGACCUUGUUGUUGUGAGUGUUGAUCAACAUGACUCUAGCUAUUUGAGGAUGGUGUCCUCAAAUUCUAGUUCUGGUGAGACUGGUUUCCAUAACUCUCAGUACGUUUGAUAAAAGACCCACCACCUCACUGAUGACUGGACUGAGCUGGUGCAAAUGACCCCUUGCUGAAGGAACCCCUUCCUCCUCUACUAGAUGUACCACUAAACUUAUCCAAUAUUCGGGCUUUCUUGUUAUGCUCUUUCUCUUCUUGAGCUUUCUUGUUAUGCUUUUUCUCUUAUCUCCUUUGUUUUCUGUCUUUUUUAAGUACUUGGCAAAACCCAGAACAGAGGAGAAAGCUGUCAUUCCUAUCGCUAUAGCUGAUGUCGUAUCCUUAAUGUGGUAAGACAAACUGCAACAAACCUACAGAUCUUUGCUUUUUCCAUCUUAACCAUGUGAUGAGCAUGCUUAGCCAAACUUAUGAAUUCCAUGUAGUACUCUUGCACACUUUUAUUCCCUUGCUUGAGUUGCUCAAUUUCUAUAGCCUUAUCUUCUAUAUCCUUUUCUGGUAUAAAAUUACCCAUGAAGACCUCUUCGAAUUCUUCCUAAGUAGUCGGACUAUCAUCUUCACAUCUUUCCUUUUCCAACAUCUCAAACCAAAAGACAGCCACAUCUCUAAGUUGGUAGGCAGCCAGCUCUACAGCUUCAUCAUCAAAUGCCUUUAUCGCUCGGAGGGCUUUCUUGACACCUUCCAGCCACAACAUUGGAUCUUCAUCAACUAUAGGACCACAGAACAAUGGAGGACUUAACUUUAAAAAUUCAUUCACUCUUGAAGACUCAGAAUUGAUUUGUCUAUUUGAUUGAGUGGAUUCUCAUCUCUUCUCUUGUUCUGGUUGGCUGUGAAGGCUUUAAACAUCUCCAUAGCACUGUUGACAACAUUAAACAUUUGACCCACAUCUGUAGAUAUAGUUGUUUGAGCCGGAACUAUUAUUGGGGGUGGCGUGUAAGGCCUCGUAAAAUUUUGCUUAAAAUGUUUAAGCGUAAUCACUUUGGGGAGUUGAAGGAAAUAUUUUUGUAGAAGUAGGCAUUUUCCUGCAUUAUGUGGUUGCAUAAUCACUUUGGGUGCCGCAGAGUGAAACACUCUUUUCGGUCAAUUUUGAGGUCAGUUUCGCAUCCAAUUUUGCGACCGCAUAUCCAUUUCGCGGGCCGCACUUUGGUCGCAUAAUCGUCCUUGGAAUUUUGCAGAGGGAGGUUCUGCGCAUUAUGCGACCGCAGAACAGGUCUAUGAGCCACAUAAUGGCCGCAGAAUGAGACAGACCAGCCCAGUUCCUAGGGCCACUUUUCGCGGCCAUUUUGCAGAUCGCAUAUAUGCGGCCAUAGAACCUGUUCCAGAGCUACAUUUUUGGGUUUUAAAACCCGACCCAACUUCGCUAAAAUAGAGGUAAGGUGCCAUUUUUAGCUAGUUUUCUUAUAUGUUUAGAGAGAGAGAAAGAGAGUAGUAGAGAGAUAAGGUGAUCUUCAUCAAAUUUCUUCUUCUAUUCUUUCUUAACACCUUGAAGAUUAUCAAGAGAGGCACCUAGGUCUUCUUCCUAAGAGGUAAGAUUCUAUUACUCAAACUCUUAAUUUCAAGAUGUAACUAGAAUGGGCUAUUAAUAAAGGUAAUUCAUAGGGAUGAGAAUGCUUACCUUGCAUGCAUGUAUUCUUAAGGUAUGUAGGAAGGUUGUGAGUAAAAGAUGAAAAAGAAUGGGGUGUUGGUUGGUGUAGUAUUUCAUAAAAAGGGGCUAUGAAACCUUAAUACAUACAAAGUGGUUUAUAGAAUGCUCAAGUGAGAUAAAAUUACGAUCGUUUUCCUAAUUUUGGGUAUUUCUAAAAUAGAUUGAAGUUGCUAAUUCUAAAACAUAUUAAAGUUUUAAGAGUCUCAAUUGAGGUAUGUAUGGCUAAACCCCCUUCUUCUUAGAAUCGAAACCCCUAGUGUUCUUGUAAUUGGUGUAAGUCACUAAAUUGAUCAUACUAGAAUUGACUGUGCCAAGUGUGUUGUGUUGAAUGAAAUAUGCUCAAUAUUUGUACUAAAUGCUUAUCAUGUCAUCUUACCCUUCGUGGAUGUGUUUACAAUGUGGAAUAUGUGUUAAGAAAGGUUACAACUUCAUGUCGAAAAUCGAAUAAAGGUUGUUAUGCCAAUUUGUAUGAAAGGCCUCUAUGUGCUUAGGAUUUUCCAAGUUUUGUCCUUAUGUGUACAAAUGCCUUACAUGAUAGGCCUUAUUAUUACUGAUAAUGUUAUUGAAUGUGUAAAAAAAAAGGAAAACUUGAAUUUUAAAAUAUGGCCAAGUGCCAAGAACGACUUAAUAAAUGAGGCCACUCGUGCCAAUGUAUUGAAAGAUGGGAAAGAAAUGUAAAGUGAGAUGAUUGAUUGAAAGGAUGGUGUCUCAAGUGAGAUGGCCUAGUCGAUCGGGCCGUGAUCGGACGCCAUGCCACACACAUAGUUGUAAUUGUGCUAGAAAUUAUGAUUGAACUUGUGAAUGUGGUAGAUGUCUCAAAUGAGAUGACCUAGCCAAUCGGGUUGAGAUUGAACUCUGUGUAAGAACAUCGUGGUAUUGUGAAUUGUGGCACAUGUCACUAAAGAUUAACCCACCAAAUAAGAUGGAAAUUGAUUUGAGAACAUAUGUGAUCCUUGAUAUUUUAGUAUUAUUUGAAGCUCUUAUUGUACAUCAUGAUUGUUUCCACUUUGUUUCAUUGUUCAUUCUAUUAAGAUGGUGUUGUAGCUUUACAUACUAGUACUACUCGACAGUACUAAUGUCCUUUUUGCCAGGGGUGCUACAUCUUCAAAUGGGUGUAGGUGGUUCCAUAGCAGACAGUGUUAAUUGUAGCUAGUGGUGCAUCCUCUUCUCAGCAGUCUUGGUGAGCCCCAUUUCAUCCCGAAGUCAUAUGUUGUAUCUUUUGUUCAUAUUGUUACCCCUUUUUGAGGUACAGCCGGGGCCUUGUCGCCGGCAUUAUCAUAACUAUGUUUUGUAUAUUUAGAGAUUCUGUAGACAUUAUGUGGGUUGUGUAUGGGUUCUAGAAAGGUCAGACAGAUUUUGUUGUGUUUUGGACUCUUGUUUCACUAAAUCAUAAGGUGUAUAUAUUUUCGGAACUCAACUAUGAUGUAGCAAAAUGAAAUGAGAUGAAUUAGCAAUGUUUAUAUAUAUGAUCUUUACACUGUUUAACU